CAAGGAUACAUCUAAGGUUAUAUCCUAAGGCAUCUGUUCUGCCUCCUUAAUCCCUUUCAUUCCACACUGAAGGUGAAGAACAAAGCUUCCAUAUGGCAUGGCAGGAGAUAGCAAGAGAAAAAGUGCCCGUGUUGCUGCAGAAGGACAUCAGGACCAUAGGGAUUUCCUCCUCCUUACCCUCCUCAUGGGACAGAAGAAUCCAGGGGAGCUGCCACUGAAGGAGGAAGGACAUGAAGCUGAGGAGAUCACCCAUGUGCUGAACCAAUGCUGCCCAACCAGAUCCUGCAGAGGAGAAAUCAAAAUGUAAUUAAAAAUGCAAAUCUU